rnacentral:rRNA from 1 species
CCUACGGGAGGCAGCAGUCGAGAAUCUUUCACAAUGGGGGAAACCCUGAUGGUGCGACGCCGCGUGGGGGAAUGAAGGUCUUCGGAUUGUAAACCCCUGUCAUGUGGGAGCAAAUAAAAAAGAUAGUACCACAAGAGGAAGAGACGGCUAACUCUGUGCCAACAGCCGCGGUAAUACAGAGGUCUCAAGCGUUGUUCGGAAUCACUGGGCGUAAAGGGUGCGUAGGCUGUUUCGUAAGUUGUGUGUGAAAGGCGCGGGCUCAACCCGCGAACGGCAAAUGAUACUGCGAGACUAGAGUAUUGGAGGGGGAAGCGGAAUUCUCGGUGUAGCAGUGAAAUGCGUAGAUAUCGAGAGGAACACUGGUGGCGAAGGCGGGUUCCUGGACAUUAACUGACGCUGAGGCACGAAGGCGAGGGGAGCGAAAGGGAUUAGAUACCCGGGUAGUC